UCUUCCACAGUAGUGCGAUGUCUUUGCAGUAGAUCUUCCCACAUUCUCAAUUGGCCUCAAUUUUAUUCAAUGAGAUUAUCUAAACCUAUAUAAGAUGAGUAUCAGAUUUCUUUUGCUACCUUAGAAAUUUCUCUUUUCUCUAAAAAUGCACUGGUUCUUUCCUUGCGGCACUUCAUUCUGCAACAUGUCACAGGUGUAUACCAUGAAAUUGACAACGAUCUACUACUCACUCCAAGGAAGGCACAUGUUGAUCGACUCUGUACAACUUUUACAAAACAUUGCUUUCAUUCAACAACAAUUUCUUGAUAUGUAUGCGGGUGUAAGAAGGAGGCUAUAGUUUAAAAAAAAAGGUGGCAAGAACUUUAAGAUGUGAAACAUUUGCAAUCAUAGCCGAUAUUGCUCAAAUCCACAUUUAAAUUAGGUGUUGUUGAUAUUUAAAAAAAGGAAUUAUUAUCAAA